rnacentral:rRNA from 1 species
UACGAGGGGGGCGAGCGUUGUUCGGAGUUACUGGGCGUAAAGGGUGUGUAGGCGGUCCCUUAAGUUUGGUGUGAAAUCUCCCGGCUCAACUGGGAGGGUGCGCCGGAUACUGAGGGGCUAGAGUGCGGGAAGGGAAAGUGGAAUUCCUGGUGUAGCGGUGAAAUGCGUAGAUAUCAGGAGGAACACCGGUGGUGCAAACGGCUUUCUGGACCGUAACUGACGCUGAGACACGAAAGCGUGGGGAGCAAACAGG